CCUACGGGAGGCAGCAGUGAGGAAUAUUGGUCAAUGGCCGGAAGGCUGAACCAGCCAUGCCGCGUGAAGGGCAGGGUCCUAGGGGCGUUAAACUUCUUUUGUGCGGGAGCAAGAAUGGUCACGUGUGGCCAGACGAGAGUACCGUACGAAUAAGCAUCGGCAAACUCCGGGCCAGCAGCCGCGGUAAUACGUAGGGGGCUAGCGUUAUCCGGAAUUAAUGGGCGUAAGGGGUGCGGAGGUGGGUUCUUAAGUCAGAGGUGAAAGGCUACGGCUCAACCGUAGUCCGCCUUUGAAACUGGGGAACUUGAGUGCAGGAGAGGGGAGUGGAAUUCCUAGUGUAGCGGUGAAAUGCGUAGAUAUUAGGAGGAACACCAGUUGCGAAGGCGGCUCUCUGGACUGUAACUGACACUGAGGCACGAAAGCGUGGGUAUCAAACAGGAUUAGAUACCCCGGUAGUC
rnacentral:rRNA from 1 species